rnacentral:rRNA from 1 species
AGAUUGAACGCUGGCGGAAUGCUUUACACAUGCAAGUCGAACGGCAGCACGGGGGGCAACCCUGGUGGCGAGUGGCGCACGGGUGAGUAAUACAUCGGAACGUGUCCUAGAGUGGGGGGAUAGCCCGGCGAAAGCCGGAUUAAUACCGCAUACGCUCGAAAGAGGAAAGUGGGGGAUCGUAAGACCUCACGCCCAAGGAGCGGCCGAUGCCGAUUAGCUUGUUGGUGAGGUAAAAGCUCACCAAGGCGACGAUCCGUAGCUGGUCUGAGAGGACGACCAGACCACACUGGACUAGAGACACGGCCCAGACUACCGUACGGGAGGACGAGACGAGGU